AAAAUGGGGAGGGAUAUGGGGGAACACACAGUGUGUGGGGGAUGAGUCAUAAAGGUGCAGCAGACUAAAUGAGGAAAACAGAGGGAAAGAGCAGGUGAGGGGGAAUGAGUGAUGGAGAGAGUCUGGGGGAAGAAAGUGAACAGGAAAGUGAGAGAGAAAGAGAGAGAGAGAGAGAGAGAGAGAAAUAUGCACAUUAAGGCUCAUCUGAACACACCUUGCAGAUCCUCAAACAUUUUGGGAGAAUGUUCUGUUUGAUUGAUGAGUUGAAAGUGGAACUGUUUGGAAGACAGGAGUCCCGUUACAUCUGGCUUGCUCUUCUCUCUCCUGAAAGGAAGAGGAAGAGUAUUAACUGAGAUGAGGGAACACCACCUUAAGCUCAACCUGGCAAAAUCUGAGCUUCUCGUCAUCCCAGCCUGUCCCUCAAUCAACCACAACCUCACUAUACAGCUCAGCUCAAGCACACUCAAGCCGACCAGGAUGGCCAGGAACCUUGGGGUGAUUCUCGAAGACAACUUCACCUUUACAGUCCACAUCUCAACAACUGCACGGUCCUGUAGGUUCAACCUGUACAAAAUCAAGAAAAUCAGACCCUAGCUCACCGAACAGGCUACACAGAUAUUAGUCCAGGCUCUUGUUAUCUCAAAACUGGAUUACUGCAACUCACUACUCUCGGGCCUCCCGGCCAGUUCCAUCAAACCCCUUCAAAUGAUUCAGAAUGC
ensembl:lncRNA